UAAAAUUAAUGAAAUUUCUUUUGCAACUCUUCUUCCAAUCAGAAUAAAGAAUUAGAUAAAGAAGCAAUUUUUAAAGUACAUUUAAAUUAAACAUAGAUUGUUCAAAAUCAAACGAAAUAUCCGAUCGCCAAUUAACGCGAAUAAUUAUUCGCGCAGUAGAUUUCGCGUGUAGUAGAUAGCGCCCGCUCCGAGACCGCGCGGAACGCUUCGCUGCGAAUUCGAAUCUCAGCCGACUCGGAAAAAUAACAAACACGAGCGACCGCUCACUUUCGAAAAAAUUCUCUGCUUUCUUUGAUUCAACUCAAAACUAAUUUUUCAUCGUUCGAGAAUCUUCUCGAAGGACGGUAUAAAACCACGCACUCGAUGCCGUGUCCAUCACUUCAAGUUUUCCGCCAGUCUAAAACCGCGCUGUACGAGAAACAACGAGUAAUAGAUUUUUGCUUUUUUCGAUUUUAAUAGUCUUCAUCGCACUGAAUCGACUAUUCUCGGUACUUGCAAGGCAGUGGCCUGCUUGCAUAGCAUUUGUUCGCCGCUUUCCUUCUUUUGCAAAUUACAUUUUUUUUGUACUCUUUUGUGUGUGGAGCAAAAAUAGUCAAGUAAUUCUUUGUCUUCUCUUCCACCUUUUGAUUAAACUACCCGGAUCACAGAUUGCGCCUCUUUAAUUUUGUGAAGGACAAUAAACACCACCAUAAAGAUGAUUAAAUUAGAAAUGCCUUCAUUUAAAGAAAUAUUAAAAGAUACUGGAGGAAACGAACAACUUCUAGAAGAGCUACUGAUUAAACUUCGACUAUGGUUGAAGCAGCAAAUUCAUCUUCCUGAAGAUAUCUCUGAAAAACGAUUAAAGUUCUACAUUUACAGUGCAAAAUUUAAUUUAGAAAAAGUUAAGAAACGCUUGGAUUUGCAUUAUACUCUUAGUAAUCUAAUUCCGGAGGUUUUCACAACUCGUGACCCAUUGGCCGACUGUGUGUUUAAAGUAAAUACAUAUAUACAAUUUGUAACCCUACCAAUAUUAACACCAGAAAUUAUAGAAUAACUAUAAUGCGGUGGUUACAUUCCGACAGUUCUGUAUUUGAUCUAUAUGAUUUUAUGAAAUAUUUCUCCAUGAUAAUGGAACACGUAUAGAAGAAGAUAUUGUUAAUUCCGAUGUUAUAAUUUUACGAUUGUACCAUUU